rnacentral:rRNA from 1 species
UACGGGGGGAGCAAGCGUUGUUCGGAUUUACUGGGCGUAAAGGGCGCGUAGGCGGUCAGCACAAGUCAGUUGUGAAAUCUCCGGGCUUAACCCGGAAAGGUCAACUGAUACUGUGCGACUAGAGUGCGGAAGGGGCAACUGGAAUUCUCGGUGUAGCGGUGAAAUUCGUAGAUAUCGGGAGGAACACCAGUGGCGAAGGCGGCGACCUGGACAGAUAUUGACGCUGAGGUGCGAAAGCGUGGGGAGCAAACAGG